CAACCUGUCAUUUUCUUGAAAUCGCUUUAAAGGCAGACUCAGAUAUUUGGCAGGUCAAUUGUUAAACUUGGACUAAAAAAACCCAAUCAAAAACAACAGUGGACACGCUCACCUAAGAGUCCUGAAGUGUGUUUAAUGAUUUAUUUCAAACCCUGCAAGCUGCUGCAGUUCCUUUUUUAGUUUUAUUGCAUUUUUUCCCCAACAGAGAGAGAAAAGCCACCGCAGAUUUGCGUGAUGUCCCGACUGCUCAGUCUGUAAGAGAGCAAUCAGAAGGGCUCUCACAACAAUGGGGUGCCGUGCGAUGGUGUGAGAAGAUAUCUGUCCUGUUUGGGACUUGAAUCUCUCCAGGUCUCUCCUCAGUGAUGUGUUCUGCCUCUCCAGCUGCAGCACCCUGCGGGCCAGCCUGCAUGGUGACUUGGUCCAGCUCUUGCUCCAGCUUUUCAUACGUUUCCAGCCGAGACGCCUGCUCGGCAUUCUGAGCUUGCAGCUCCGUCGCCCGCUUCUCUGAUGACGUCUGCAGCCUGUAAAACUCCUGGGUCAGGAGCUGAGGGACAAGAGGAGAGGAGAGAAAGUGA